rnacentral:rRNA from 1 species
UACAGAGGUCUCAAGCGUUGUUCGGAUUCAUUGGGCGUAAAGGGUGUGUAGGUGGCGCCGUAAGUCGGGUGUGAAAUUUCGGAGCUUAACUCCGAAACUGCAUUCGAUACUGCGGUGCUUGAGGACUGGAGAGGAGACUGGAAUUCAUGGUGUAGCAGUGAAAUGCGUAGAGAUCAUGAGGAGGACCAGUGGCGAAGGCGGGGUCUCUGGACAGUUCCUGACACUGAGACACGAAGGCCCAGGGGGAGCAAACGGG